CAGAUGAGAAGCUUGCUUCUCUGAUGUUAGCGGCGGACGGGUGAGUAACCGUGGGUAACCUACCUAUAAGACUGGGAUAACUCCGGGAAACCGGGGCUAAUACCGGAUAAUAUAUUGAACCGCAUGGUUCAAUGUUGAAAGACGGUUUCGGCUGUCACUUAUAGAUGGACCCGCGCCGUAUUAGCUAGUUGGUAAGGUAACGGCUUACCAAGGCAACGAUACGUAGCCGACCUGAGAGGGUGAUCGGCCACACUGGAACUGAGACACGGUCCAGACUCCUACGGGAGGCAGCAGUAGGGAAUCUUCCGCAAUGGGCGAAAGCCUGACGGAGCAACGCCGCGUGAGUGAUGAAGGUCUUAGGAUCGUAAAACUCUGUUGUUAGGGAAGAACAAAUUUGUUAGUAACUGAACAAGUCUUGACGGUACCUAACCAGAAAGCCACGGCUAACUACGUGCCAGCAGCCGCGGUAAUACGUAGGUGGCAAGCGUUAUCCGGAAUUAUUGGGCGUAAAGCGCGCGUAGGCGGUUUCUUAAGUCUGAUGUGAAAGCCCACGGCUCAACCGUGGAGGGUCAUUGGAAACUGGGGAACUUGAGUGCAGAAGAGGAGAGUGGAAUUCCAUGUGUAGCGGUGAAAUGCGCAGAGAUAUGGAGGAACACCAGUGGCGAAGGCGGCUCUCUGGUCUGUAACUGACGCUGAUGUGCGAAAGCGUGGGGAUCAAACAGGAUUAGAUACCCUGGUAGUCCACGCCGUAAACGAUGAGUGCUAAGUGUUAGGGGGUUUCCGCCCCUUAGUGCUGCAGCUAACGCAUUAAGC
rnacentral:rRNA from 2 species